rnacentral:rRNA from 1 species
GCCAGCCCGCUCAAGAACUCAAGGAAUUGACGGGGCCCGCACAAGCGGAGGAGCAUGUGGUUUAAUUCGAUGAUACGCGAGGAACCUUACCUGGGCUCGAACGUAAGAUGACUGUAGGUGAAAGCUUACAUCUCUUCGGAGCAUUUUACGAGGUGCUGCAUGGUUGUCGUCAGCUCGUGCCGUGAGGUGUCGGGUUAAGUCCCAUAACGAGCGCAACCCCUACCUUUAGUUGCCAUCAGGUUAAGCUGGGGACUCUAAAGGAACUGCCUACGCAAGUAGUGAGGAAGGCGGGGAUGACGUCAAAUCAGCACGGCCCUUACGUCCAGGGCUACACACGUGCUACAAUGGCCGAUACAGAGGGCAGCUACCUGGUGACAGGAUGCAAAUCUCCAAAGUCGGUCUCAGUUCGGAUCGGAGUCUGCAACCCGACUCCGUGAAGUUGGAUUCGCUAGUAAUCGCGCAUCAGCCAUGGCGCGGUGAAUACGUUCCCGGGCCUU